AUCGCUUCUCAGCCUUUCGGCUAAGAUCAUGUGUAGUAUCUGUUUUUAUCAGUUUAAUAUCUGAUACGUCGUCUAUGUGAGGACUUUGGGUCAGUGGGUAAUGGUCUCGGUUACACAGCAGAUGGUUGGGGGUUCAAGCCCCAGCAGCACAAAGCUUCCACUGUUGGGCCCUUAAGCAAGGCCCUUGAACCCCUCUACUCCAG
rnacentral:snRNA from 1 species